UGGGGAAUAUUGGACAAUGGGCGCAAGCCUGAUCCAGCCAUGCCGCGUGAGUGAUGAAGGCCCUAGGGUUGUAAAGCUCUUUCGCACGCGACGAUAAUGACGGUAGCGUGAGAAGAAGCCCCGGCUAACUUCGUGCCAGCAGCCGCGGUAAUACGAAGGGGGCUAGCGUUGUUCGGAAUCACUGGGCGUAAAGGGCGCGUAGGCGGCUGUUCAAGUCGGGGGUGAAAUCCCGUGGCUCAACCACGGAAUGGCCUUCGAUACUGGACGGCUCGAGACCGGAAGAGGUGAGUGGAACUGCGAGUGUAGAGGUGAAAUUCGUAGAUAUUCGCAAGAACACCAGUGGCGAAGGCGGCUCACUGGUCCGGUUCUGACGCUGAGGCGCGAAAGCGUGGGGAGCAAACA
rnacentral:rRNA from 1 species